CCCGGCCUGGUGAAACAGGCAGACACGCUGACCUCAAAAGUCAGUGCCGCAAGGCGUGAAGGUUCGCCUCCUUCGGCCGGGACCA
rnacentral:tRNA from 1 species